GCGAGUUUUCAAGGACAUCCUUGCAAAGACAAGAACAUCCAGCUACUGUUCAGCAUGACUGUCUGUCAGAACAUGGUUAUAAUGUAAUUAUAAUGAAACAUCUGCUACAAUAGCAUAUUGCAAACUUGGAUGAAAAGGCAAAAACAGCAGCAAUGUGAUUAAAAAAAUCCCUUUCAUCAGUUCUCUCUUUGGAUCUAACUCAGUGAGAGAUAAUGAUGGUGUGUGGGUGACGGAAAGGUAGAGGAGCAACAGUGCAUCCGCUCCAAAAAAAAAUCGAUGCGUGGCAGACGGGAUUUGAAGGGAUGUAAGAACCGAAAGGAAAACACAUGAAUCAAGUAAGAACCUUAGGCAAACAUUGUUCUUCAGAGUUCGGGGAAAGAUGAAUAAUCUCAACAUUAAGCUACUUUUCACCAGGCCAUGGUGAGUCAUCGGCGCCAAGAGGAGACGCCACACUGAGCAGGGAGUUCAGAUUGCAGACACUUGCUUGGCUGGUAGCCAGGAUCUGGCUGUCCAAGAGCCCUCGAGCAGUGGCAGCAUGCCUCUCAGGCUGGAACAUUUGGUCAACUCGAGCCAGCAGAUGGAGCUACUGAGACACCACUUUAGACAAGCGAGUGGACCUGCCAUGCAAGAUGGUGUUAAUGAUGUCCCCCUGGACCAGAUCAAGGCCCGCUUGUUUAUCUGGAGAACUGCCUGACAAUUUAUAUUAUUAUUUAAGCAAAAUCACAUCCAACAGAUCCAAAUAGAGCUACUAUGACUCAUAUAGUCUUAACUGAACUGACAGAAUUUCCUUCUCUCACUGAAACAUUUCCUGGUUUAAGUGUAUUAUUUCAUGAUAUUGGUUUAUAAUUAAGAUGUUUUAACCUUAAGAUAAGUUCUUAAAGUGUUGGUGUUUUGUUUCAU